UCUAGAAGUUCACCAACUAGUUCCAUGACUUACAGGGAGGAGUCCUGGGGUCUGAGAGCACUCCCAGGGCAGCUCAUCUGCUGUGAGUCAAUGGAGGAGGCCCCGCAGCAAGGCCAGCCAAGCACAAGGGCGAAUGCGGCUCCUGCUCCUGGUUUUCUAGUUGUGAAACGUUGGGCGGGUUCACUGAACAGCUCUGGGCUUCAGCUUCCUCUUCUGAAAACUGACGACCUUAUUUAACCAUACAGCCUAAUCAGCAUCCUGAACAAGAGGUAUCCUCC